AUUGAACGCUGGCGGCAGGCCUAACACAUGCAAGUCGAGCGAGCGGCGGACGGGUGAGUAAUGUCUGGGAAAAUGCCUGAUGGAGGGGGAUAACUACUGGAAACGGUAGCUAAUACCGCAUACCAUCAGAUGUGCCCAGAUGGGAUUAGCUUGUAGGUGGGGUAACGGCCCACCUCGGCGACGCUCCCUAGCGGGUCUGAGAGGAUGAACAGCCACACUGGGAAUGAGAGACGGUCCAGACUCCUACGGGAGGCAGGAGUGGGGAAUAGGGCACAAUGGGCGCAAGCCGGAUGCAGCCAUGCCGCGUGUGUGAAGAAGGCCUUCGGGUUGUAAAGCACUUUCAGCGGGGAGGCGUUACCGGCAGAAGAAGCACCGGCUAACUCCGUGCCAGCAGCCGCGGUAAUAC
rnacentral:rRNA from 1 species